CCUACGGGAGGCAGCAGUGGGGAAUCUUGCGCAAUGGGCGAAAGCCUGACGCAGCCAUGCCGCGUGAAUGAUGAAGGUCUUAGGAUUGUAAAAUUCUUUCACCGGGGACGAUAAUGACGGUACCCGGAGAAGAAGCCCCGGCUAACUUCGUGCCAGCAGCCGCGGUAAUACGAAGGGGGCUAGCGUUGCUCGGAAUUACUGGGCGUAAAGGGAGCGUAGGCGGAUAGUUUAGUCAGAGGUGAAAGCCCAGGGCUCAACCUUGGAAUUGCCUUUGAUACUGGCUAUCUUGAGUAUGGGAGAGGUUAGCGGAACUCCGAGUGUAGAGGUGAAAUUCGUAGAUAUUCGGAAGAACACCAGUGGCGAAGGCGGCUAACUGGCCCAUUACUGACGCUGAGGCUCGAAAGCGUGGGGAGCAAACAGGAUUAGAUACCCUGGUAGUCCACGCCGUAAACGAUGAGUGCUAGUUGUCGGCAUGCAUGCAUGUCGGUGACGCAGCUACGACAUAAGACACCUCCGCCGUCGGGGAGGUACGGUCGCGAAGAAUUAAAACUUAAAAUUAAGUAAGUUAGUACGGCGUGAGACGUGCCGAACGGACGACGACGAGGGGAGGUAGG
rnacentral:rRNA from 1 species